rnacentral:lncRNA from 1 species
CCAGCUUUGAGCCAAUUCCCAGGGCCAGAGCUGACCUUUGUGGGGUGACCUGAGUCUCUUGUUUUUUCUUAGAACCAGGCAGGGGGAGGCAGCCUCAUCCAAACUUCAAAGCUGGAAGAGGAAUGGGGAAGUCCCCCAGGGCAGGGAACAUGAAGGGCUACUUCUAGCAGGAGGAGGAGGAGUUGCUAGGUAGACUGAAGACAAACAGCUCUGGACACAUUGUGUGUAGGGCAGGGCUACACUGGGGGCUGGGCUCUCCAUGCUGCACCCCAGCUCUGUCUGUUGCCUAGCAACUCGAGUUGGCGCCACCACAAAGUGUAAACAUGGACCAAAGGAGAAGCCCUUUGGAGAAGAAGACGCCAAAGGGAAAGGGAAAAGUUCAGAAGGGCAGAAAGCAUUCAACUCUGCAACACUGUCAUCAUAUUCCACUUAUCAAAAAGUGAAUCCUGAGGACUGAAAUAAUUUGCAGAUGUGGUGGAGGAGCCGUUGCCAGCAACUCUGAGACCUGGGAAGAGGCUGGAGACUCCAGGCAGCCAAGGGAGAGGCUUCCUAAAGUCGAUGCGAGAGCCUGGCAGGCUGACUGGUGGAAUAAGCUCAGGCCCAGUGGAGGUGACAGGAAGUCUCAAUGGACAGCCCUUUCCGGAUGGGAGGCCCACCCAGGAGACAGGGCCAAGUCCCCAGAGCUCCUGUCAGAAUGGGAGGCACUGCUGCAGCUGGGAGAGGGAAGGUGAGCCCAAGGGGAACCUGGGAACCCGUCUUCUUUCUCUGAGCUCCCUCUUUGAAGCACCUUCCCCUGGGGCUGAGGGGACAGAAAGCCUGUCAGUGACACAGGCAGCCACGCAGUGCUGGCUCUGCGUAGGUCUGAGUGUCUUCCAUGGUCAGGAGCCGCCCCCUCCCUACAUCUCCUCCGAGAGGGGACCCUGUAACCCUCUGUGACCACAGUUGGCAAUGGUUGAGGCUCUGGUUUCAGAGCCACUUAUAUCAGUGCUGCCUUUGGCCCCAGCUCAGCCUUGUUGUGAUUGCCUGCUCCACAGGACAACUCACGGAGUAGAAACCACUGCUCUUGGGGACUCCAGGACUGACAACAACGGCCUCCCCCCUGCACCCUUCUGGUUCCCAAGCCUUCAGAUUCUCCCUGAGUUACACCAUGGGCCUUCUUGUUUCUCUAGUUUAUAGAUGGCAGAUUUGGGGACCUAGUAGCUCUGUGUCUCUGGAGAACCCCAAUACCUUCAAAUCUCAGGCUGUAAGAAAACAGUUUCUGAAAUGGAAGUGUUCCAGUUUUCUAUUCUUUGCUUAAGCACUUGUGUUUUGUUUUGUGUUGUGUUUUGCAGCGCUGGGGAUGGAGCUCAGGCCUGCACUCACGCUAGGCCAACGCUUGGGGCGGGGCUUAGCCCAGGGGUAGCGGGUGGACAUGGGGAAAGUGUCGCCUGGCCCCUGGCCGGCGGAAGGCAGGCUGCGUGUGUGCUGGGCCUGCUCGGUUUCCCUGCUUCAGGCACCAGCCGCUGAGUCCUCCCCGGGGACUUUCCUGGCUGCCAGCGCUUGUGUUCCGACUGGGGUGACCUCCUCCCCCUCCACCAGACCUGUGUGUCCACUGAUUGUCACAGAGAUUGGCCUGAGGCUGACCAAGCGGCCACACCUGGCUCAGAGAGCCUUGUACACGGGAGCAGCAGCAGGAGGUGAGAGUCCUCACUGCCCCUAGGGGAUGCAGCUUUAAGUCCUCCUCGAACCCCUUGGGAGCAGAGCGAUUGAGGACCAAGACAGGGCAGGCUGGAGUCACCUCUUCCUGAAGCGGUCUCCUCAGGCUGCACGCUCAGUCACAGGAGCCCAUUCAUGCUGAGGCUUCGGCCAAUUCAACUGAGUUUCCGCUCCUGGGAACUGAGUUCUGACUAAGCCCGCACAGAGUGAGGGGGACCAAGACUGCCCUCGGAAGUGAAAGAAGUCACAGAGGUGAGGAAGGUGGGCUGUCAGAACAGAACUCAGGGGCCUCCAGAUCUGGGAAAUGAAGAGGUUUACUGAACCCUCAUGGGUGCCAGACCAGAAAGGACCAGGCCCUGGGGCAAUUGCUGGGAGGGUCCAUGAGGAAAGUUCUGGUGGCUUCUGGGUUGGCUGGGGUUGUGACCGGACACCGCCUGCCUAGCGGUGUGACAGGAUUUGAUUAAGGCUGAACACACAUUUCAGAAGGUCAACUGGUCUUUUGGUAGUUUGCGGAUGGGUGCUGAUUAACCUCCCCCAUCUCUCCUCCCCGCCUUCCUCUCUGCUUGUAAUCAAAUUAGGGCACCUCAGAAUUUUUUUUCUCUUCUCAGAGCCAGGUUACAGAGGGCCUUGUAAGCCUCAGUGAGCAUUUCGGUCUUGAACCCUGUGAACUCAGAAGUUACUGCACGGCUGACUCAGGAGACCACAGGAAAUGGCUUCUCUGGGGGCACAGAGCAUCAUAUCAGAAGUUGUGGGCAUUAGCAUAUCAGAGCCAACAGAUAUUCCUGGUUUCCAGGUGUGGAGUGGAAAUUCUGCCUUUAGGACACCAGCUGGCUGGUGUGGUGGUGCACACCUAUAAUCCCAGCACUAGGGAAGAUGAGCCAGGAGGAUCACAUGUUCAAGCCUGGCCUGGGUAAUUUAGCAAGACUAUCUCAAAAAAUGAAAAAAGGGCUGGAUGUAGCUCAGCGCAAAGACUCUGGGUUCAAUCUGCAAUACCACACAUACACAGAAGCCAAAAACCAAAAAAUGCUUUAUUUACAAAAGUCAGUCUAGCUGGGUUUGGUCUGUGGACCUGUUUGCUGAUCUCUAACAUAGAAAGAAUAUAUUAGGAACAUAUAAGGACUUGUAUCAGGAUGUCUAUUGCAUUAUUGUAGUUUGAAGAGGAAAAAAAGCCAAAGACCUGAUACAACCUACACAUCCACCAUUAGUUUAUGAGUUCAGUGUGAUGGUUGAGAAAUCCUGGCAAGUUUAUUCUACAGAUUUAAAGCAAAUGUUCAAGGGAACCAGUGAAUUAUGGGCCUCCUGACUUGGACGAGCAUCUAUAAGGUAUUAGGUGUACACAGCAGUCUGCAGAACAACACAACCGACCUGCACACCUGUCCACGCUGUGGCUCCGUAGGGCCCUGCUGUCACAGAAGGCCCUCCUCCGUCCCUCUGAUGCUGAGCCGGGCCAUGAGGCUCGCUGUGACUGUGGAGUGUUAGCAGGUGUGAGCAGAGCCCAUCCCUGUGCCUGCAUAGUCGCUGCUUGCGUUUUGGCAUUUGGGUGCUGAAGACAGAACACAGAGCCUUGAGCAGGCUAAGCCCAUCCCUCUACCACCAGAGCUCUGCCUCCAGUCCUGCCGUACAUGGUUCCCCGUGGUUUCUGUGCUCCCAGGGGCACCUCUCGAAGAACAUACCCUGAGUGGCCACUAGAGCAAGGUUGACAAGGAGCAGGCGAGGCAAGCCCAGCCCAGGCACCGCAGCCUGAAGCAGAACUGCCCAGCCUGCACCUGCAGAGCCAGGAGCUUAAGAGAAAAGGCUUUGGCCGGGCAUGGUGACGCAUGCCUGGAAUCCCAGCACUCGGAAGGCUGUGGCAGGAGGACCAACUUGAAUUCAAGGCCAGCCUGAUCUACACAGCAAGACCCUGUCCCCCUACAAAAACAAAUAAACAAAAAAGAAUAAAAGCUUAGGUCCAUGUUUUGCUGCUAUAACAAAAUACCAGAGGGGCCGGGGAUUUAGCUCAGUGGUUUCACCGCCUGCUGCGCAAGCACAAGGACCCAAGAUCGAUCCCUGGUACCAAAAAAAAAAACCCAACAAAAUACCAGAGGCUGGGUAAUUCAUAAAGAAAAUAAAUUGUGGGCCAGGUGUGGUAGGGUACCCCUGUAAUCCAGAACUUGAGAGGCUGAGACAGUAGGAUCCCUAUGAAUUUGAGACCAGCCUGGGCUACAUAGGGAGUUCAGAGCCAGCCUGAACUACG